CCAUGGGAUGGAGAACUACAGUGUGGUCUCACAAUUUGAACUAACAGUUGUGUGUUCUUUUAGUUGACUGAUAUAGCAGCUAGAUUGACAGAGCUGAGUGAGUUCACCAGCUUGGAUGCCAGUUAGUUUCUGAAACAGUCUGGCGUCCAGACUAAUACAGUAGGUUGUAAGUCUUUAUGAACUUCCAAUUAUAUAUGUACGGCUGUGUGUGUUUCUCCUGUUCCAGGAGUGUAUGGCGGAUGAGGAAGGUAGGUUCAAUGAGCUAGCUGGGCCUGAGCUACAGAAUCUGUCUGUGAUGGGGGAGGGAAACGACACGGGUAGGAAGAAACUAUGUGUGUGAGCGACAAAGAGUUCUAGUUCAGCUUCUGCCACUCUGAACACGCUUUUGUUUGUUUUCUCUGUGUGUGUGUGUCAGUGAUUUCCAUGCUGAAGGCGGUCGGUGCUCUAGUGAAGGAGGAGGAGUGUGUCCACAGCUAUCCGGAUGACCGGGGGAGUAAACAGCCUGUAGUCAUCAGACCCAGCAAAUAGUGGUUCAUCAACACCGCCAGCCUCGAAGACAAUGCCAAGGACGGGCUGGCAAAGAUGCGUGUAAUGCCAGAGUCAGCGAGGGGCAGUCUGUUUGCCCAGCUGGACAGGAGACCGUCCUGGUGUAUCUCUCACCAGAGAAGCUGGGAGAAGGGGAGUGACUGCUGGUGGGAGCUGCCCCUGGAAUCCCUACUGCCCCCUGAGGAGCUCAAUAAGGGCUCUAGUGGUACAUGACUUUGUGGUCAGUGAGAAAGGAGAGAAGGUUUUAGGCAACUUAGUAGACCCAGAUUCAGCCAUCCACGUUGGGAAGGAUCCCAGUGUGUCUCCUGCCUAUGAGGUGGAUGUUUUGCUCUGGUGGGUGGCAAAGUCCACCCACCAGAGAUCUGGACUCUGAGGUCCAGAUCGGCUCGACCGUGCUCAACUCAGCCAGAGAAACAUCGAUAAGGCUGUACUGUGAACCUGAGGACUCGUUGGGUCGGAGGUCCUGUCAGAUGGUUUUAGAGGCGAUUCUGGACGCAGUGACACGUUCCAUCGCUCCCAUCGUGUCUCACCUGGUUGAGGUCUACCUACACACCCCAGGACAUGACGGACGAGCCUACUUCCUAUUACGCCCAGCUAACGGAGCUGAUGGUGUCAUCAUGGACCACCCUGAACAGCGCCCUGCCCAGAGACAUGCCCUUAUCAGCAAGGUCAACUUUCUCAUCAACCUGUAGGAUGGGGUUAUCCGUGAGGACAGUGCUUACCAAAUAGCGGCAGUGCCCACCUCUAUGGUCCGGUGCCUGAGGUUCCACCGUUACACCUCAGUCUCCCCGGACUGCCCCUGCCAGACCAUCCUCAACAGGGCGCAGUGACACCCUCACCCGUCAUCAUUACAACCUGUAAAUGACCCUCUGAUCCGGUCGAUCUGCUUGAACUUAGCCCGGACAACCAGGGGUCAACAAAGAAACACACCCUGCUUAGCAACAAUACUGAGAGGGGUAACAGAGCGACAGCCACUGUCUAGCAGUGCCAAAACUACAUUACCCACAAUACUUUAAGUGACAUUGACUCUGGCAUGUUGUUGCUGCAUGCAGAGUGAGGAUGGCUGGUUCAGCACUCAUUUUGUGUUAUUUAUUUAAGAAAGGAGAGAAUUAUCAUCUGGUGUAAGAGCUAUGCAGUCCUUUUGGGUUGAUACGACACCUCUCCCAAAAAAGGGCACAUGUCAGUGAUGUUCCCUGGAAAGGGAAACGUAUUUACUUCUGAAUCACUCCUAUGAGGCACACAGUGCAGUAAGAUACCUACUGAGAGAAUCAAGUCAAAGGGCAGACAUGAAGUCAGAUUCAAGUUUGUGUGUGCGUUGAGAGGAUAUAUAGGGGAUGGUACAAUUCUGAGUGCUUUGGUUUUUAUUCCAAGUUUAAUGUUGAAAUGGAAGUCAUAAUGUAACUCAUCUUAUAAUGUGACAAGUAAAGAAUAUGUUUGAGUUCAUUAAAACUUCUUAUGGCUGGAGGGCAAUAUUGAGUAGCUUGGAUGAAUAAGUUGCCCAAAGUAAACGGCCUGCUCCUCAGUCUCAGUUGCUAAUACAUGCAUAUUAUUAUUAGUAUUGGAUAGAAAACACUAAAGUUUCUAAAACUGUUCGAAUGACGUCUGUGAGUAUAACAGAACUCAUAUGGCAGGCAAAAUCCUGAAGAGAAAUCAAAACAGGAAGUGAGAAAUCUGAGCUUGGUAUGUAUUCACCACAGUUCAAUGAAAUUCCCUUGAGAUAUUGAUGUUGCACUUCCUAGGGGUUCCACUAGAUGUCAACCAUCUAUAGAAAUUUGAAUGAGACUUCUGUGUUGUGGGACUGAACGAGAGCAGAAUCUGUCAGCCAUUUUCUGAUCACGCUCAUUCCUCAUGGUAUCCACUCGCGUUCCAUUGCUCAUCAAGAUACAAAGGAAUACUCCGGUUGGAACUUUAUUAAAGCUAUAUGUUAAAAACUUCCUAAUCAUUGAUUCUGUACUUAGUUUGAAAUGUUUCUUCGACCUGUAAUAACUUUUUGAAGUUUUUGUCCGGUCCUAACUCUGACCAGAAUGAGCAUUUGGAUAUGUAUACCAAACUGAGGUAUUUGGACAUAAAUAACAGAUAUUAUCUAACAAUUUUUUAAAUAUUGUGGACCUGGGAUUCCUGGAGUGCUUUCUGAUGAUCAUAAAAGGUAAGGGAAUAUUUAUCAUGUCAUUUCUUGUUUAUGUUGAUGCCAACAUGGCGGCUAUUGUGAUUAUUUCUUCUGAGCGCCGUCUCAGAUUAUUGCAUGGUUUGCUUAUUCCGUAAAGUAUUUUUGAAAUCGGACACAGCGGUUGCAUUAAGGAGAGGUAUAUCUAUAAUUCCAUGUGUAUAACUUGUAUUAUCAUCUACAUUUAUGAUGAGUAUUUCUGUUGAAUGAUGUGGCUAUGCAAAAUCAAUGGAUGUUUUUGGAACUAGUGAAUGUAACGCGCCAAUAUAAACUCAUAUUUUGAUAAAUAUGAACUUUAUCAAACAAAACAAAUGUAUUGUCUAACAUGAAGUCCUAUGAGUGUCAUCUGAUGAAGAUCAUCAAAGGUUAGUGAUUAAUUGUAUCUCUUUGUGACUCCUCUCUUUGGCUGGGAAAAUGGCUGUUUUUAUUGUAGUUUGGUGGUCACCUAACAAUCGUUUGUGGUGCUUUCGCCGUAAAGCCUAUUUGAAAUCGGACACUGUGGUGGGAUUAACAACAAGACUACCUUGAAAACGUUAUAAGAUACAUGUAUGUUUGAGGACUUUUAAUUGAGAUUUUUGAUGUUUUGAAUUUGGUGCCCUGCACUUUCACUGGCUGUUGUCAUAUCGAUCCCGUUAACGGGAUUUCAGCCCUAAGACGUUAACAUACUAUGAUGAUUAUGGUUUUGGGUAAAUGUUCUUCCAUAUUUUUACUUGUAAAUGCAAACCUCUGUAUAAUACUCCUAUACCAAACUCAUUAAAUAAUGAAUUAUUUACUUUAGUUUGAAUAUUGACCAACAUAAUACACAUGGAAGCUAGAUAUGGUAUGUUGGGAAUUGCGCUACCUUACAGUAAUCAAAUAGUCGGUGAUUCCCAUCACCCUCUGGAUGAGGUUAGUGAGCUACUGUACAAAUCCAAGAAAAAAAAA